rnacentral:rRNA from 1 species
AGAGUUGAUCAUGGCUCAGGACGAACGCUGGCGGCGUGCCUAACACAUGCAAGUCGAGCGAGGAGAUCCUUCGGGAUGAUCCUAGCGGCGGACGGGUGAGUAACACGUGGGCAACCUGCCUCAUAGAGAGGAAUAGCCUUCCGAAAGGGAGAUUAAUACCUCAUAACAUUGCAGUUUCGCAUGGAACAGCAAUUAAAGGAGCAAUCCACUAUGAGAUGGGCCCGCGGCGCAUUAGCUAGUUGGUGAGGUAACGGCUCACCAAGGCGACGAUGCGUAGCCGACCUGAGAGGGUGAUCGGCCACAUUGGGACUGAGACACGGCCCAGACUCCUACGGGAGGCAGCAGUGGGGAAUGUUGCACAAUGGGGGAAACCCUGAUGCAAGCAACGCCGCGUGAGUGAUGACGGCCUUCGGGUCGUAAAGCUCUGUCUUCAGGGACGAUAAUGACGGUACCUGAGGAGGAAGCCACGGCUAACUACGUGCCAGCCGCAGC